rnacentral:rRNA from 1 species
UACGUAGGGUGCGAGCGUUAAUCGGAAUUACUGGGCGUAAAGCGUGCGCAGGCGGCUUGCCAAGUCAGAUGUGAAAGCCCCGGGCUCAACCCGGGAACUGCGUUUGAAACUGGCAGGCUAGAGUUUGGCAGAGGGGGGUGGAAUUCCACGUGUAGCAGUGAAAUGCGUAGAGAUGUGGAGGAACACCGAUGGCGAAGGCAGCCCCCUGGGCCAAAACUGACGCUCAGGCACGAAAGCGUGGGGAUCAAACAGG